AAGUCGUAACAAGGUUUGCCGGAAGCGAUCCUUCUCUGAAGCCUUUCCACACAAAGACUAUAAACGUGUGCAGUCCACAUUUUAAUCGUGGGCGACGUCACCACUGUGCUGGAAUCCUGAUUUUCGGGAUAUCAGCAGCCGAGUUGCAGGAGCGCUUGGUUCACAGAUUAGAAGGUGGCGGUCGGGGAGCGGUGUCACCCUCCCCGAUCAAGAUAUAACCGGUCCCUGUCGAGCAUGACAGUUGAGAAACGUUCCGUAGGUGAACCUGCGGAAGGAUCAUUAUCGAGUUAGGGUCCUCUGGGCCCGACCUCCAACCCUUGCUUAUAUUACCAUGUUGCUUUGGCGGGCCCGUCCGCUCCGGACCGCCGGGGGCGUCUGCCCCUGGCCCGCGCCCGCCAGUAGCCCAACCAAAUUCUUCUAAUAGUGAUGUCUGAGUUAAAAUAUAAUAGUUAAAACUUUCAACAACGGAUCUCUUGGUUCUGGCAUCGAUGAAGAACGCAGCGAAAUGCGAUAAGUAAUGUGAAUUGCAGAAUUCAGUGAAUCAUCGAAUCUUUGAACGCACAUUGCGCCCUUUGGUUAUUCCGAAGGGCAUGCCUGUUCGAGCGUCAUUAUCAACCCUCAAGCCCGGCUUGUUAUUGGGCCCCGUCGCCUCCCGGCGGUGGGCCCGAAAGAUAAUGGCAGAGUUGUGUGGACCCCUGGAUGUACCGAGCUUCUUUAGCACGCAUCGNGGAGNUCUGCCGGCUUGGUCUUANCCCCAAUUUUCUCAAGGUUGANCCUCGGAUCAGGUAGGGAUACCCGCUGAACUUAAGCAUAUCAAUAAGCGGAGGAAAAGAAANCCAACAGGGAUUGCCUCAGUAACGGCGAGUGAAGCGGCAACAGCUCAAAUUUGAAAUCUGGCCUCUACGGGUCCGAGUUGUAAUUUGUAGAGGAUGUUUCGGGCAAGGCUGCGGUCUAAUUUUCUUGGAACAGAGAGUCAUAGAGGGUGAGAAUCCCCGUCUAGGACAGCCUGCCGCGUCCAUGUGAAACUCCUUCGACGAGUCGAGUUGUUUUGGGAAUGCAGCUCAAAAUGGGGUGGUAAAUUUCAUCUAAAGCUAAAUAUUUGGCCAGAGACCGAUAGCGCACAAGUAGAGUGAUCGAAAGAUGAAAAGCACUUUGAAAAGAGAGUUAGACAGUAUGUGAAAUUGUUGAAAGGGAAGCGCUUGCAAUCAGACUUGCGUGUAAUGGUUCCCCCGGCGUUCUCGCCGGGUUACUCUGUUAUAUCCAGGCCAGCAUCGGUUUGGGUGGUUGGUGAAAGAUCCCGGGAAUGUAUCUACCUUCGGGUCGACUUAUAGCCCGGGAUGAAAUGCAGCCCACCUGGACCGAGGCUCGCGCAUCUGCUCGGAUGCUGGCGUAAUGGUUGUAAGCGACC
rnacentral:rRNA from 1 species